CCUACGGGGGGCAGCAGUGAGGAAUAUUGGUCAAUGGGCGGGAGCCUGAACCAGCCAAGUCGCGUGAGGGAAGACGGUCCUAUGGAUUGUAAACCUCUUUAGGCGGGGAGCAAUGCCGGGCACGCGUGCCCGGAGGGAGAGUACCCGCAGAAUAAGCAUCGGCUAACUCCGUGCCAGCAGCCGCGGUAAUACGGAGGAUGCGAGCGUUAUCCGGAUUUAUUGGGUUUAAAGGGUGCGCAGGCGGAUUUUUAAGUCAGCGGUCAAAUCGUGGGGCUCAACACCAUCCAGCCGUUGAAACUGGGGAUCUAGAGUGUGCGAGAGGUAUGCGGAAUGCGUGGGGUAGCGGUGAAAUGCAUAGAGAUCAUACAGAACACCGAUUGCGAAGGCAGCUUACCAAACUACGACUGACGUUGAGGCACGAAAGCGUGGGGAGCAAACAGGAUUAGAUACCCCAGUAGUC
rnacentral:rRNA from 1 species